GGCUUGCCUUCGCGAGAAUUUUAACGACAUCAAGGGGGCCAGGUGAAGCAGCUACUUGUACCCCGGAUGGUGACUGUGCAGGGGGUGCAGGCGGUGCCUGUACAGGGACUACUGGCGGUGCUUGUACUGGAGCAGCAGCAGGUGGCUGAGCGUUGGUGCAGUGCAGGAAGAGGAGGAGAAUUGAAAACGAGAAGAAAGAUUGUUGCGCCAUA
rnacentral:misc_RNA from 1 species